CCGGAUGUAUCUAAGGGCUGGCAAAAUCUGUAGGAAAGAACUGCAAAAGUGAGAGCCAAGUGUAGGAUUAGGGAAUACAACUCUAGGUAGGGGAGGGGGGUACCUGGUGUUUUGACAGAAGUACUUCUACAAUCUCUUCAUUUGCUGUGUUGAGCCGCUGUUGAAGAGAACAAUGGGACGGUUACCAUGGAGUCAGCUAAAGGGGGAUCGAUCCAUACGUCGCGUUCCUGUCGUGCCGAAUCUAAUUUUCUAGUUGUAUCGACACCAAUACAUUGGGUUCAACGUUGAUUCAGAGGACGUCGCACUAAAGGAGUCGCGCUCAAUAGGUUGUAAAUAGUAAAAGUUGACUUGCUGCGGAACUUCUUUUGUACAAAUAUAUAUGGUAUUUGAUUCGUCACACAAAGGCUCGAUGUGUGAAUCCCGUGACGAAAUUAAUUCUGCCGUUUCGAGCUUCACUGAUUCAGACGUCAAGCUGCUCAUGUGCCAAAUUCAAACAAUCAGAUUCGGCACGGUAGCAGCGCGCCGUAUGAAUAGGGCCUUAGUCUAGCAAACUUCCUAGGCCCCGAGAUUGUCCGUUAUAUGGAGGUUCAAUUGUAUCAUAACAAGUCGAACGCACUUCCUAGGCCCCGAGAGUGUCCGUUAUAAGGAGUUUCCAGUCUACCUUAAGCAUAUCCAGUGCCAGUUGGUAGGCGGGUGGGAACGCUUUCUCCAGCGACAGCAUGAGACAAGCCUACAAUAAAACAACAAAAAGAGACGUCUUACAGAACUGGCAGAACGGUUCUGUUCCAGAAGCUCGCGUCGCAUUUCUCGGUUAACCACAAGAUAAAGGAAAGUACAAAAAGGCUUACUAGUGUUAACAGCACCAGGGCCAUGGCGUACAAACAGCGCUAACACAGUGGGGUCAGCAUUAUAUCGGUUUUGGACGGAGAUUGUGUAUUCAGAGUUUCUAAUUAAUCUAAUACUUACGAGAUGUUUAGAGUCGCUCAGCACAUGAUACUGCAAAAACUGCAACGAAGAAGGUCAUUAAAAAAUUGUCAGGGCACAAGAGCGCGCCUAAUAGACAGCAUUUAAUCAGAGCUGUAGCAGGCUUAAAAAUAUUGGGGGUUACGAUACAGAAACAGUUAGAAAAUAUUGGGGGCACAGCCACGCCCCUACUGUCGUUUUCUAAAAAAUUGUAAAAAUAUUUGGGGAGGGGGGAUGCUCCCUGCUACGGCCCUGUUCGUGUAUGAUGUUUAGGGGUAUCACAGUGUGGUACCUGAUGAAACUGGUAGAAGCGCUUGUUGUUGACAAGAAGAUUAAUGACCAGCUCGUAUAAAUAGUGCUGGAAUAGAACGAAGAGAGAGAAACGUAAGUAACGCGAUGGCUAGCGGAAUUGUCAAAUUAUAAU